CUGUGGUGGAAAUUGUUAAUAAUAUACAACAUCAUGGUACAAAUGAAUUGUUCUCAACCACCUGCAAUUUGUUAUCAUGUCAUCUCAUUCGUUGUUAAUCUCAUUUAUUGAUGAUCUCUUUCAGUUUUAUUUUCUCCUGUCAAUUUGCAGUACAUCAUUAGUUUGUUUUUCAUUAUAUUAUUGCCUCAGUUGUUUUCUUAAGUCUCUCAAUGAUGAUUCAUCAAGCAUUGCAAAAAUGUUUGAUCAUUUGUUUUUUGUUUUGUAUCUUGAAUCUUAAGUUACCCGUUGGUAAAAUCAGACAAUGUUGGCCGCUUAAACGAUGAUGAACAAUAUCGCUGAUGACGGUAGAUUUUGAUGAUGGAUGUAAGUACACUUUUGCCAUAGACCAGAGGAGGAGAUCAAAGAGUGGAUGCUUGUUCGGUUCUACAUGGAAUAGCAAGAAAUCGUAUAAGCUGGACAUGCAUUUCCUAACUCACCACAAUAUUGGGUACUAAGCUGUGAUAAGGCAAGCCAGAGAUCUCAGGAAAUGCUACCCAUUGAUUCAAGACAAUUUGGUGGGAGAUGUACACGAUUGAUCAAGAAAAGAAAAGAGGUUCUGGAGUGAGCUACAACGGGUUGCCCAAAUACUUUUGCGUUCCUCAUUGUGCCGUAGUUCUCCUCAUUCUCGUCCAUCAUGAUGUGGAUCUAUCUUUUUCUUGCCCGAGAUUUCUUUGUUUUCCUCUUUGUUUUUCUGCUUUCCUGUUUGGUGCCCGUUGUCGCUGGAACCAGGCUGCUUUUGCAUGGGGAGGAAGAAGAAGGGGGGAGAUGGUGACGUGGAGGCAACUGGUGGACCAGGCCAACGAAAAUAGAAGGCCUAGUUUCCUGUUUUUUGUGAAAUCCUCAACAAAGGCUGAUGUAUAAAUAAUGAGCUACUCCUUUUUCAGUUAUUAUGUACAAGAGCCCAGUUUUAAAACGGCAGAUGUAUAAAA